GCCCAGUUAGCUCAGUAGGAGAGCUCCUGUAUAUGGUGAGCGAAAGCGCAACAACUAGCAGGUAGUCGCAGGUUCAAAUCCUGACCGGUGG